rnacentral:lncRNA from 1 species
CGUUUUCUCACCUCAGCAGAGGUUAGGAGCGUCUUUCCCAGCCCUGUUCUUCUGUCUUGGAUGUAUCUGAAGGCAAGUUGUAAGUCAGACUUGGGACUCAUUUUGCUGGUUUUGCCAAGUGGCAUUUUCUCUGACCGUUCAUCACUUUAGAAGUGUGCUUACUUUCCUGAGUUUUCAUUUUCUUCUAUCAUGUCUAGCUCACAGAGCAAAUACCAACCAAAAAGAGUAACUUGAGGGAUGUGGAGAGAGACUUUCUUUGCACUUUACUAAGUGAGGUUGAUUUUUUGUCACUGAGCAUCAGGCACAGGCCUGGGAGGCCAACAGCCUCAUUCAAAUCCCAGAUCCAGCCUUUGUUUACCAGCUGUCUGACCUUGAACCCACAAGGGAACUUCUCUGUGCCUCUGAUUCGUCGUGGGGAAAACGGUGGUAUCCAGAGUGGCUGGCUGCCAGCUCACAUUGAUGACUCCGGGGCAGUGCCUGGCCUUCAUCUGGUCCUUGCUGCUCCAGCCUUUGCCCUGUUAAUUGAAGGAAUGCUGCCAUAACCACUUCCUGGAGAAUUGGGACUGGACCCCCAGCAGCGAGGAGCCUUGAAGGCUGGAGAGAAAGAGUUUCCAUCAUGGAUCUCUCCUGAGGGAAUAUUCCAGAUUUCCUGAGUCGUUUCCAGGUCGAGGUCCUGUAUGCCUCUUCUGUUCUCAGGACCAGUUCCUGUCAGAGUGGGAAGACCUGAUCUUGGAUAUUUGGUUUUGAUCCUUUGUGAAAAGCUGUAAAGACAAAUUUCCACCCCUAGCUGUAAAGAACUCUUGGUGGGAAAUUAUAAUUCCUUUAGGGAGAUUAAAAUCUCAUUUGGAUUACCCUAAAUCCGAGUUUUGGUUGUUAGAAUUUUCUUUAAUGUUCAUGAGAAAGUAUCUUAUAUUUCCCAUGAAGAUUCAUUCUCCUUAGCAGUGAAUUUUGAACUUUGUUUUCUUAAAUGUCCAAAUUAGAUUUUCCCAAGUUUUCUCUCUCUUACUGAUUUCUCACUUAGCAUCAGAGGUAACUUUUAAGCAAAAAGGGCAUAGCAGAGAGAUGACAGUGGAGGGCACCUUCAACACCAUUGUGGAGAUGAGGUUCCUGCUCCAAAAAGAAACAUUCUCACAAUCUCA